rnacentral:rRNA from 1 species
GCUUGUCUCAAAGAUUAAGCCAUGCAUGUCUAAGUAUAAGCAUUAUACAGUGAAACUGCGAAUGGCUCAUUAUAUCAGUUAUAGUUUAUUUGAUAGUCCCUGCUAUUUGGAUAACCGUAGUAAUUCUAGAGCUAAUACAUGCACCAAGCGCGCUUUUACGAGCGCGUGUAUUUAUUAGAUACAAUCAACUUUCGAUGGUAGGAUAGAGGCCUACCAUGGUGGUAACGGGUGACGGAGGAUUAGGGUUCGAUUCCGGAGAGGGAGCCUGAGAAACGGCUACCACAUCCAAGGAAGGCAGCAGG